ACAGAAGAAGGGACUCCCUUAUCUCCCAUGGGACUGAGGCCUCCAGUUACCAACUCCUGUCUGGUUUCAUGUCCUUUUCUAUCUGGCAGUGGGAAUAAUGUUUUUAGUGAACACUGUUCUCUGGGUGACAACACAUAAAGAACUGAAAAGAAAGAAAAAGUGGAAUUUAGAAAUCUCUUUGGAUUCUGGUCAUGAGAAGAAGGUAAUUUCCAGCCUUCAAGAAGACAGACAUUUAGAAGAAGAGCUGAAAUGUCAGGAACAAGAAGAACAGCUGCAGGAAGGGGUGCACCGGAAGGAGUCCCAGGGGGCCAAGUAGCAGCGGCUCAGUGGGUGGCCAUGGAUCUGGACCAUCCCCUGCCCACUUGCUCCCCGUGAGCACUGCGCACAAACACCCAAAAGUUCAACAACACCAGAACUGUGUGUCUCAUGGCAUAUAACUCUUAAAGCAGAUAAAUGAACUGACUUCAACUGGGG
rnacentral:sRNA from 1 species